AACCCCAUCCUCAGAUGCGCUCAUGCUGUGCGCUGGUCCCGGGUGCAGUGCCUGCGCUCGCCAGCUCCAGGGCUGCCUGCACGGGCCCUUGGCCAUUUCCAUUUCUCCCCCUGCAGACCUCACAGGAUCCUCAGGUGGAAGGGACACCAAGAGGCUGCCUCGUCUCCCAUGUCCACUCGGCAGGUGGCGUCCAGCCUCUUGUGAGCCAUAAGCGUCCCGCAGGUCCUCGCCUUCCUUGGGCCCCUGCCCUAUGACGGUGACUGGUCACGAUCUGAGCUCUGGAGUCAGACAGCCCUGGGGUCACUGUGAGGGUCAAAGAAGGAGUGGGCGUAAAGUACCUGAAAUGCCUGGCCCUGGCCCGGUCAUCCCCCCAGGGUUUGCCGUUGGUCAGAAACAUCCAAGAGCUGCAGUUUAGAACUCCGGGAGUGGAAUGCUGUGAGGGGGUUCCAGCUUCAAACGUGGGCCUGAUCGGGGGGAGGCAGAACCCUCGGUGGCUAGGUCGUUAAGUCAUCUAAGAAACACGGAGAGCCUACCACACGCCUGGCAGCUGAGGGCCUGAGGGCAAAUAAGAUGCAGGCCAACCCCUCAACAGGAGGGCAGGCUGGUGGGAGGCGGGAAGGUAACCGGAUAGUCACGUGAGGAUGUUCUGCGUGCUCUGACCGAAGGAGGAUGAUGCCACUGAAGAAGAGGGUCGCAGAGGUUUCUGGGCCUAAAUGGGGAGCCACAGUGUGCAGGUCAAGUAAGAUUUUACUGCAAGAAGCUGGAAACAUGAAAACCUAACCUGUCCCCCUGACUUUUUAGGGAGGAGUGGCCCCUAAGGAUGGAGCAGCUGACUGCCCAGUGGGCUCCCGUCCUCCACAGCCACUUUCUCCAGUUCGGACUCUUUCCCUGCACUCUGUUCACUAGGCCCUCUGUCCUCAGGCCCCACCCCUGAUGACCAGGCCACAGCCAGAGCAGAGGGUCUGUCUGCAUGCAGCGGGUUGGGGUAGGGCCCCAUCCAUCUUCCUCGCCGUGGAGGUGGGCCGUGGGACUGACGGAGUCUGUGAGCAGUGACUGCACCCUAGCACUGUACUAAUUGUGCUAGACAGAGCUGUUUAAAUACCACCAGACAGAAUAUUACUCAAAUUAAAAU